GGCCGUGAGACAGGUGCUGCAUGGCUGUCGUCAGCUCGUGUCGUGAGAUGUUGGGUUAAGUCCCGCAACGAGCGCAACCCUUGUCUUUAAUUGCCAUCAUUCAGUUGGGCACUUUAAAGAGACUGUCGGUGUUAAACCGGAGGAAGGUGGGGAUGACGUCAAGUCCUCAUGGCCUUUAUGCCCAGGGCUACACACGUGCUACAAUGGUCGGUACAAAGGGUUGCCAAGCCGCGAGGUGGAGCUAAUCCCAUAAAACCGAUCGUAGUCCGGAUCGCAGUCUGCAACUCGACUGCGUGAAGUCGGAAUCGCUAGUAAUCGUGAAUCAGAAUGUCACGGUCGAAUACGUUCCCGGGCCUU
rnacentral:rRNA from 1 species